rnacentral:rRNA from 1 species
GAUGAACGCUGGCGGCGUGCUUAACACAUGCAAGUCGAACGGUGAACGAGGGAGCUUGCUCCCUCCGGAUCAGUGGCGAACGGGUGAGUAACACGUGAGCAAUCUGCCCUGGACUCUGGGAUAAGCGUUGGAAACGACGUCUAAUACCGGAUACGAGGCGUGGGGGCAUCCCCAACGCCUGGAAAGAACUUCGGUCCAGGAUGAGCUCGCGGCCUAUCAGCUAGUUGGUGAGGUAACGGCUCACCAAGGCGACGACGGGUAGCCGGCCUGCGAGGGUGACCGGCCACACUGGGACUGAGACACGGCCCAGACUCCUACGGGAGGCAGCAGUGGGGAAUAUUGCACAAUGGGCGCAAGCCUGAUGCAGCAACGCCGCGUGAGGGACGACGGCCUUCGGGUUGUAAACCUCUUUUAGCAGGGAAGAAGCGAUAGUGACGGUACCUGCAGAAAAAGCACCGGCUAACUACGUGCCAGCAGCCGCAGUAAGAC